AGCCGCAUAUUUCAGAUGCAAAAUGUGAACACAUCCAUAAACCGUGCGAAUCAAGAAUUGGUCAAAACCAACAAGUCAUCAAACUUUGUGGGGGUAAGCAAUUUUGACAUUAGCAGAUCAACACAGCAAGUCGGACUUUGAUUUUAAACCAAAAAGCCAAAAGCUCCACGUGUCAGCACCGACUCUAUAAAACAAGUGCAUUUGCAGACGUGAGACCAGAUUGCACGCAGGAUGAAAGGGCUAGCUGUACUCUGUUUGGUGGGACUUAUUCUCGCAGCCUCGUCGGCUGAACGUGUCCCUUUGAAGGGUCCAAGACCACCUCAGAUGUUUGGUGAAUGGAGCCCGUUGAAAAACAGCAAUGGCUUUGGACCAGCACCAACUACCAGUGAAAAGGUGGUUGAGGAGAAGCAAACAUGAGAGAAGACACGGCGGAGGGGCUCAGCAGAUGGAGAUAAAUGGAUUAUGCUGCCGUUGGGGUCUUCUUUAAAUAAACAAAACUCUUGUCAUGUGA